rnacentral:rRNA from 1 species
UAUGUCGUGGAGGCCCCACCCGUUCCCAUCCCGAACACGGAAGUUAAGCUCCACAGAGCCGAUGGUACUGCAUUUUAGGAGUGUGGGAGAGUAGGUCGCCGCCGGAU